UCACAGUCUGUUACUACUUAAUACAGUGCUUAUUGGCCUGAGAUUGGACAUUAUUUAAAAGCAAUUUAGAGUGUUUUCUCCAUUUCAGGCAAGAAAACAUGCACUAUUUUUCUGAUAUGGCAUGGGACAUCGAAAAAUAGUUUUGAACAAAAUUUUGAAAUUUUUGGCCCAAAGAAAGCAAAUACCCCCUGCAACAAACAAGAUGUGUCACAAUAAGUCAUGAUUUAUAAUCCCUUUCAGGACUGCCUGUUGCCCUUAGCAAUCCCUAAAGUUCAGCAUAUCUUCAUGAAACUGUCUGGGAUGUGACAAAACUUUGAGAAACAGUUUUGUGAUAAUGGUUUUGCACUUUAUUGGUACUUCUCCACAGGAGGUGGUGAAUGGCUGCUUUCAAAUACAUAGAGCUAUCAAAGGCUAAAGUCAAUAAAAAACCUCCAUAGAAUAAUUGGGGAGGAAAGAAAAGGGGGAAAAAAGAACAUAAAACGAAUGAAAAGGCAAGUAGGACCUAUAAAUAUAAAAGCCUAAGGAGUAUAUUUUGGGGGAACAGAUGAUGCAAAGCAAAAUUGGGAAUAGUUAUUGGAGGAUCAAGGAAGGCAAAUAAAACAAUAAGAUAUAUGAUGCCUGUCCUCCUGCCUCAAGUCUAGCUCAUCAGACAGUUUUUCAUUCCAUUUUGUAUAUAUGAGUUUCAUCUGACUACUGCCAACAGAAAGUGCUCGGAUUUCCUGACUUUUUUCACUGUCAAAAGAAAUAAUAAGCUGAUGAGAUUCAAAGCAACAGGAAAAGACAAGAUGAUACUGUAUGAAAGUCUGACCAAUAUAAAGGGUGCUACAAGGAUGCCCCCAAGGCUCAGGAUGUUGGAGAGUUGAGGCACCAUGAGUAACCACAAUGCAGCAGAAUGAAGAAUAGUUCUUCUGGUGUGAGGAUCCACUGGGUUGCCACUGACCCAUUGCCUGAGGGUAUGCGAUGAAACCAGAAUCAGCAACUGUAGAUGGCAGCUCAGAAGGGGAAAUGACACGUCUAAUAACCAACAGGAAUGGCUAUUCUAAUAAAUUUUCACUUAAGUGUUGUCAUAUGGC
rnacentral:lncRNA from 1 species